GACGAACGCUGGCGGCGUGCCUAAUACAUGCAAGUCGAGCGGACAGAAGGGAGCUUGCUCCCGGAAGUUAGCGGCGGACGGGUGAGUAACACGUGGGCAACCUACCCUGUAGAUCGGGAUAACAUCGAGAAAUCGGUGCUAAUACCGGAGAAUCAUUUGAAGUGCAUGCUUCGAAUGUAAAAGAUGGCUCCGGCUAUCACUACGGGAUGGGCCCGCGGCGCAUUGGCUAGUUGGUAAGGUAAUGGCUUACCAAGGCAACGAUGCGUAGCCGACCUGGGAGGGGGGUCGGCCACACUGGGACUGAGCCACGGCCCAGACUCCUACGGGAGGCAGCAGUAGGGAAUCUUCCGCAAUGGACGAAAGUCUGACGGAGCAACGCCGCGUGAGUGAUGAAGGUUUUCAGAUCGUAAAGCUCUGUUGUUAGGGAAGAACAAGUGCCGUUUGAAUAAGGCGGCACCUUGACGGUACCUAACCAGAAAGCCACGGCUAACUACGUGCCAGCCGCCGCCGUAAAAC
rnacentral:rRNA from 1 species